UACGUAGGGGGCAAGCGUUGUCCGGAAUUAUUGGGCGUAAAGAGCGUGUAGGCGGCCAGGUAGGUCCGGUGUGAAAACUCGAGGCUUAACCUCGAGAUGUCAUCGGAAACCAUCUGGCUAGAGUCCGGAAGAGGAAAGUGGAAUUCCUGGUGUAGCGGUGAAAUGCGCAGAUAUCGGGAGGAACACCAAUUGCGAAGGCAGCUCGCUGGGACGUGACUGACGCUGAGACGCGAAAGCGUGGGGAGCAAACAGG
rnacentral:rRNA from 1 species